GUAAUAAACCAAGCCGUAUAGUCCCCAUGACUAAUGUUCUAAGACGUUACCUUUCCUGUCUACAGGUACCGUGUGGAACUGUCGUUGUCAUACCACGCAAAUAUUGUAUCAGGUCAAGUAACAGCUAGGGACAGCGCUCCAGUUUUUAAAAAUAACGGCCAAAUCAACUGACUGGAGACAAAUCUUAAAAGGACAGCAACAUUGCUAGGAAUAGCUAUCAAAAAGGUCGACACAAAAUACAUAGAUUGCUUUGUUUUUGAAUUAAUAUCUAAAGAGAAAGAGGUUCAUCCUCCCACGUUUCUUAAAACAACAAGAACAAAUUCGUUUAGUACACAUCUUGGUUCAUAGAGUCAAAGCUUUGGUACAUGAAUUUC